ACAAGUCACCACCACCCCCAACUCCCGUUUACAAAUCACCACCACCACCAGUGAAGCCAUACCAUCCCGCACCAGUAUACAAGUCUCCACCACCCCCAACUCCCAUUUACAAAUCACCACCACCACCAGUGAAGCCAUACCAUCCUAAACCUGUGUACAAGUCUCCACCACCACCAGUGAAGCCAUAUCAUCCUACACCCGUCUACAAGUCUCCACCACCACCAACUCCCGUCUACAAGUCACCACCACCACCAGUGAAGCCAUACCAUCCUACACCCGUCUACAAGUCUCCACCACCACCAACUCCCGUCUACAAGUCGCCACCACCACCAGUGAAGCCAUACCAUCCUACACCCGUAUACAAGUCUCCACCACCACCAACUCCCGUUUACAAGUCACCACCACCACCAGUGAAGCCAUAUCAUCCCUCACCAACACCAUACCACCCUACACCAGUAUACAAGUCUCCACCACCACCAACUCCCGUUUACAAGUCCCCACCACCACCAGUAAAGCCAUACCACCCUUCACCAACACCAUACCAUCCUAAACCAGUAUACAAGUCUCCACCACCACCAACUCCAGUCUACAAGUCUCCACCACCAACCCACUAUGUUUACUCCUCUCCCCCUCCUCCCUACCAUUACUAAGAAGUGAGUUUACUAUAUCUGAGGUAAUUAAGAUGAACUUAAACCUUUACAAACAUAUAUAACUAAAAUGCAAUGCAAUAAUAAGUUGCACAAUUAUUUCUUCUCUUUUGGUUAGUUUCUUUUAUAUGUUCUCAUUCACAAUAUUAUAUUGUUAUGCAGGAAAAGCAUAAUGUUGAGCUGAAAGAAAGGCAUUUUCCAUUUUCAAGAAGAAAAUUAUAGUAAAUAAUAAGGCUUACAGAAGAUCAGACGAAGUUCUUUUGUAGCUUCAUGUUAUCUAACUUGUCUUAGUGAUAUAUUGUUUUUGUACUCUAUUUUUAUAUAUUACUUUUAUGUGUCUUUGUGUAUGUUUGCUCACUUUCAAUCUUCUUGCAAAAUGCAGAGAUUAAUUAUGAGAUUAUCAUGAAUAAAAUAAGUUAUUACUACUCCCAUAUGUUUUAAUUAACUUCUCAUCACAAUAUAUAUUACCUUUGUUUUCAUUUUAUCAUGUGCUCAUAUUUAAUUUAUAAAAUUAUAAUGUGAACACAACAUUUACAAUUUUUUUCAAAUAGAACUAUUUAUAUAUAUAUAUAUAUAUAUAUAUAUAUAUAUAUAUAUAUAUAACAGGAUGCUCAAAUUAAUAACCAACGAAUUUCAUGUACUUAUGGUUAUAAUUCAAUCAAAUUCGAGUAUUGUAGUCCAUUUACGAUAACAAAAUAAAAAAAUUAUUUAAUAAUCACAUAAUACGUUGUUAAACUUUUGUAAAGUAUAUGAUUUCAGAAGCUCAAACAAAAAAUUACAAUCCAAAUAUUUUAAAAAUAAUAGUUUAAAAUUUUCACGCAUCACAUAAAUAUAUAUACUUACUCCAAGCCUAUCCUAUCCGAAAUUUUCAGCUAUUGAUGUAGCCUCUUGUCGAUACUACUAGUCUUCUCGCUACCUACUAGAAAAAUUCCAUCAAAAUAGAUUGAAUCGACGACCUAUACUUCAACUAAAGGCACGAGGGCGUAGCGAGCUUAACUAUUAUCGUAAUAUAAGAUGAAAUCCACCCAUUUUGAUAUCACAUACACGUCUUUAAAACUGAUAAAAUAAUGAGGUCUACUCUUAGUCAAAAUUAAAUGAUUGUAGACCACAUCUACAGUUCCCAAUUGUCAACAAUUCGAUCCUCCGCGUUUGUGGUAGGUUUCACUUUCAUUUCUUCGGUUCGAUUUUAUCAAAUUUUAAUUUGAUUCUUUAAUUUUUAAUUUUGGAAAAAUGUGUAUGGAAUGUUGAAUCGAAUUAAUUUGUUUAAUUAUCUUUUUAAAAAAUUAGUUUAAAACAAAAAUUGAAUUUCAAUAAAAUUUAAUGAAAAAAUUAUUCAAAUUGAUUAGGUAACCUUUUAAGUCAAAUAUCAAUAGUUGAAUAAUUUUAUAGGUAAAAUAUUCAUAAUUGAGUGACUUUGAGAUCAUACAAGAAAAUUGAGUGACUUUAUAAGAGAAAAAAUCUUAGUUAAAAUAAUUUUUUAUGAGAAAAAAUUCUUAAGUAACUUUAUGGCAUUAUAAAAAAAAAUUAACUCCUCUUUAAAUUAGAAUUACAAAAUUAAAAGUAAGUUCCAUUUUAAAGAUAAGGACAUUAUUAGUAAAAAUAAUUGGUGAACAUUUUCCAAUGAAAAAAUAAUAUUUUUCUAAAAUAGCUAAUAGAUGAUAAUUCGUUUCUUAGGCGUAAAAAUGUUAGGACAUGUUAGCCUCACUCAGUUGAAUAAAUUGCUCACCAAGAACAUAAUCAUUGAAUAUCCUAAAACAAAGUUUAAAAAUGAAUUAAAAAAAAAAUCAGUAAUAAAAAAAUACAUGCAAACUAUCUACAAAUGUAUUAUUAUUAAUUUUUAAAUAAAAAAGAGUAAAUGAAAGAGAAUAGAAGAUCUUUGACUUGUUAAUUAAGACAAAUAUUUGUCUAAUAUAAGUAUGUCGGUAAUAACAAUGUAGACUAAGAUCUGUACUUGUUUAUAUAUCCAUAUCCCUUAAUGUUAGGACCAUUAAAAUUAUUAAUUUAGUUUAACUAAUUAAUGGGAUCUUAUAAAUACAUUAAUAAUAUUACUGUUGUCGGUGAUUAAGUUAAUGCUAAUACUUAAUUGUUUUUUUUUUCCAAUUAAAAUGUCAAAGUCGUUAGAUGAACCAAAAUGGAAUCGUCCAUGAAGAUGGUACCAGAGUACAAUUAUUGAAUAAUAUCUUUUUUUUUUAACUUCAAAAAUUAAAGUGGAAUUCAAUUACCUACUUUAUAAAUGUAUGGCAACUUGGCAAUAAUUCAUUAAAUUUCAGGAAGAACAAAAACCAUCGAUAAUUGAGAUUAAUUUAAGAGAUAAAUGUCAAAAACACAUUUAAUAUAUUACAUAUUUUAAAAAAAUUCAUACUUCACCCCGUCUCUUUUCGAAAAAAUUGAUAUUAUUUUAUUUUUUUAAAAAUAGGAAUUCUAUCCAUCCUAUAUAACCUCCUGUACCUAAUUUUUUUAUAUAUAUUUUUGUGAGUUUGUAUUAGAUAUGUACAUAUAUUUUUAGGAAUUCUUUCUACUUGUGUACCAAAUAUAAAGUAAAUAAAACAUUUAUUUUUUAAAAAAGUCUUGAGGCCGUGGCAAAUAAAAAUUAUUUUCAAUAUGUUUAUAUCUAACACAAAAGGAGAAAAAGUUCGAAAGCGGACGGUUAGGUGGGGUAGGUAUAUUUUUUUUAAAGCAAAUUAGUAUAUAUAUUUUUUUGUGUGUGUGGGGUUGGGGGGGGGGGGGGGGUAAAAAAAAGUUAAAUACCUUUACAAAAGAAAUUUAAACAAAAAAAACUAAAAAAAAAAAGGGUGGGGGGAGGGUUGGACGGUUAGAGAAAGUGAUGGAGUGGGUAGGGAGGCGAGCAAAAUUGGGAGGGAGACGAGCAAACUUUGUACGUAUCGUAACCCAGAACAUGUGAAUCAAGCAAGAUACACACUAGGUACAUGUAUUUGUACGUGUCUAGAGGAAUUCACAUAUAUCUGGGAUAUCAUAUUCUUGGAAGAAUGACGAGCAAAAUGGAACAGAGGCAAGGAAGGAAAACGAGAUAUACUAUGUAUCCCAAAUACAUGCGAAUUCAAUAAAUAUAAUGUAUCUAGAACAAAUUACACCUAAAUUUGAUCGAGAUAUUCGAGAUACAUGUAUCUCAAGGCACCAAAAUCUGAUUUUUAUAUAUAUAUAUAUAUAUAUGAAAGUUUAUGUGAUCGAUAAAACUAAUAGCUUAGUAUUUCAAUGGUAUCAUUUCUACACAAAAUAGUUCUACCUCAAUUUAUGACAAAAAUGAUUUUAUUUAUAUGAGAUCAAAUUUAUAGGGUUUCGAUGACCAUGAUAAAACAGGAGAAUGUACAAAAAUACUUAAGUCCUUGUUUAUAAUAUACCAUUUUGCCAAAAUAUUUGUAGCUCGAUUAACUUUCUUAUAGAAAUGUUGAACCUUUCAAAUAAUAGUGCUUGAUAUAAUGAUAUAUUGUAAAUAUGAAAAGUGAUGUUUUUCAUUUUCCAAAGAAUACCACUAAAAUAGUUCUUUCUAACAUCAUGUAUAAAUUUUUAUGCAAGUAAAACAUUUUAAAUAAUAAUCUACGAAACUUGUUAUUUGAUCCUCAUAGAUAUUAUAACAUUUAGUUUUAGUGCUUAUGAAAAUAAUUUUGUUAGAACAAUAUUUCCAUUAUACGUAUAAAAAGUUCACAUUGUUCUUUGUUUUUAAAGAUACAAUAUCCUAAUUAUUUCAUUGUUAUUCCAUCUCUAUUAUUCAUUGAGCAUAAUUUGAAUAAUUUAUUUUUAUCAUAUUAUUACCAAUAUAAUCAUAGAAAGUCAAAUAAGAAAACUAAUUUUCCUUGUUACUAUUUCUUUGAUUAAUUGGAAUUAGAGACGACUAGUUAUUAUUAUGAGCAACUUUCACAUAUAGCAAACAAAAAAUUUAUAUUUGUAUGCUAAUUAAGCUCCAUAGCAAACAUAAAACUGUAUAAUUUGCUAUACAUAUACAAUUGUAUAAUUCGCUGGCCUAUUUCGCUGCAAUAGUAUAAUUUGUUUUGCAUACAGUUGAAUCGAAUUAAAAUGUAUGUAUAUUGCAUAAUUAUAAGUGUAUAGCAAGAAGAUAUAUGUUUUUCUCGCUUUAUACAAAAACAGAAACACAAUAUAUACACUUUUGUUGUAUAAAGCUAGAGAAAAUUGUAUUUCACUGCAAUUGUAUAAUUCGCAAUUGUAUAAUUCGUUGGCCUUUUUCUCUGCAAUAUUUGAAGUAAAAUGUUUGCAAAUUGUGUAAUUAAGUGUAUAACAUGAAGAUAUACAUUUUUGCAUGUGUAUAUACAAUUUUCUCUCGCUUUAUACAAAACAGAAACAGAAUUAUACACUUCUGUGUAUAAAGCGGGAGAGGCGAGCGAGAAUGGAGAGUGGCGAGCGAGAUUUUUGGGAGAGAGACGCUGGCAAAUUUUAGCUAAUGUUUGCUAUGGAGCAAAAUUAAAUCAAAUCCUAGCUAUUCCAUUUAAUUUAGGUUAUUAGUUUGCUAUUAUAUACAAUUUUUUCUAUUAUUAUUAAUCGGAUGCAUUUCACUCCGCACAUAAAUAACUUCCAAUAAUUUAAUAUUAAUUAUAUAUGCUCUAUUAAAUAAUUUUUAAAUAUAAAAUAAUAUUAUGGUAGAUUUGGGGGUGUCAAAAUCAAGUCAAUUUGUCAAACUCCCCUAUUCCAUUUAAUUUAUCAACUUUAACUCAUCUCAACCUAAUUUAGUUUAAUUCAUAUUUAAACAGUGAAUUGAUAUAUAAUUCAAAUUAGCUUAUCAAAAUAUUUUUAAAAUAAUAUUUUUAAAAUUUGAUAUGUUAUAUAUAGUCGUAAUAAAGAAAAAAAUAAACUUAUUAGGUGCUAAAAAAUUUUAAAAAGAGCAAACUAAACAACUAAAUUUUAGUAAAAAUUGAAGGGGUUAUAUUAGAAAUCGAAUUUAACUUAAUUAUGUCCAAUUCAUUUCAAUUCAAAUAGACAAUAGCUAAUGAUCCAUUCAUUUGUUAACUCAUUAAAAUUCAAUCGGUUCAAAUUCAGGUCAACUCUCCUAUACCAAACUUCUAGUAGAUCUUAAUCAAUAAAAAUUUGGACACGAAAACAAUUCAUUCAUUUCAUCCAUCAAAUUAUUAAUAAGUGACACCAUCUUAGCGACCCAGUUCAUUGUAUUAUAUUAAGAAAAAAUAACUUAAAUACACAAUUAUAAGUUUUAUAUUUUCUAAUUUUCCCUUCUUUUUUUUAAAUAUUACAUAAUUUCCUUUUUUUAAAAUUUUAGUGUAAGUUUAUAGAUACAUUACAUUCUCUCUCCUAUAGUACACAAUUACCCAUUUUAAUGCCUAUUUAUUCUCCAUUAAAACACUCAACCUUUUAAAUAAAAGACCUAAUUUUGAAUUUCAAAAUUCAAAAAAUUUCAAAUUUCAAAAAUCAGGUUCUCCCGUUUUUCUUACUCCAUCAAGUUUCACUUCCUUUUUUUCCAUAAUCAUCUUCCUUCUUCUUAACCUAGCAGAAUUUAUUGGUUUCUUCUUUUUAUUCUUAAUCCAUCAUCUUUUUCUUCUUAAUCUGUAAUCGUCUUAACCCAAUAUCUUUUUAUUAUUAAUCCAUCAUCAGUUCGUCUUUUCUUCUCUUUUUUCUUUUUGUUAAUUGUUCUAUUACAUUAUAGUAAUGGAUCCGUUAAUUAAUAGAAGGAUAUAUGAUUCCGACGAUGAAAAUUGGAAAGAAAAUAGGAAAAAGUUUUUGCAUGAUCCUAUGAAUCUUCAGAAGGAUUCAAACAAAGACUCUGGCGAAACAUCAAAAUCAAAGGUUAUCAAAAUACAACAAAAAAAGAAAAAAGAAGCAGCAAACAUUGUUGUUAGGCCUACAUUGUCUCGGGUUAGUAUUUUGGUACUUAAAACUGUUGUUGAAAUUAGUAAAAAUUUUAAGGAAUCUAGUGUGCUUGCCGAUACAUUUGAAUAAGUGUGUAUAGUGUUUUAGAGGUGAAUUGAUACAUGAAUUUAUUGUGUAUCAUAAUAUUUUAUAUGUAUCAUGAAGUUUUGAAAAUUGUUAUAAUGUAUCAUUCAAUAAGUUUAGUAAAUACGUCAUCAACUGUGCUUGAUGAUACAUAUAGAAUCAGUGUGUACGGUGUUUAGUCAAUUCACUGAUACAUGUAGGAGAUAUGUAUCACAUGUUUUGCAUAUAGUAUGAAUUUCUGAAAACUGAUAUCAUGUAUCAGUAAGGUAUUAGUUGUUUAGUUGAUGUACUGAUACAUGUUUGAAAAUUGUUAUAAUGUAUCAUUCACUAAGUUUAAUAAAUGCGUCAUCAACUGUACUUGAUGAUACAUAUAGAAUCAGUGUGUAUAUUGUUUAGUCGAUGUUUCUGAUACAUGCAUUAGAUACGAAAUUGAAUCUCCAACAACGAUUCCGUCGAUUUUGUAACUUUCAUACUGCAAUUCGUUCACCUAAAUUCCGGAAUGUCUCAUCAAAAUCGAAGUAUUCAUCUUGAAAAAUCCACUGUAACAACAAUAAAAUUACUGUAGUUCGAAAUUUAACAGAUUGUUCAAAAAAAUUGUUUUCAAAAUAGAUGACAUAAUCUUUGUUUUUCAAAAUUUGAAAUUAAUAUCCAAUUAAGUGCUUAUUUUAUGCUGAUUAAUGAUAUGUUACCGUAAAUUUAGCUGUUUUAUUAACAACAUUAACUGUACCGUUUUCCCCCUUUUUUUUCUCAACAGUUUAAAAUUACCAUGUAUCAUUUACCUUGUAUCACGAGAGUCUAAAGUAUCACGGCUCAACAAAUUUAAGAGAUUUUUUGUAAAUACUAAAUUUGUCUGGACAAAAUGAAAUUAUUGAAUUACACUAUAGGAUUCCUUAAAUUUUUACUUAUAUUAAUCUUUAGUAUGGGGACCUAAAUAUUUAACUUUCCAAUUCCUUUAGGGGUCAAUUUGAUUGAUUAUAAUGAGUGAAUUAUACUAUAAAAAUUGAAAUAAUAAUUAAUGUUUGUAGAGCAUAUUAAAUUAUUUUAUCAUGACUACAGUUGGUGUUAAUUGAAUUGGAAAUAAGAUAUAUACGGUAUAUAAUAUAUAUAGAAAUUUUAAUUUGAUUCGUUGAUUUUGUAUUUUCAGACAAAUUUUAUUUUUAAUUUUACCUUUCUUAAAGAACUUUUAGUUUGGUUGUUUUAUCAUGGAAUUAGCUAAUUAUUAAUCUAGAGAAUUGCUAUUCCAUAUACAACUUUGGUACAAUUAGAGAAUUAUAAUAUAAUUAAUUUCAAAAUUACUUAUAUUUAGGAACAAAAGUUUCAAUCAAACGAUAAAUAAUUGAAUAUUUUAUCUCAGAAUUAGUAUUAUUAUUAUUAAUACUAAUUAACGAUCCUAAGUUUCGAUUUUGUCACUCCGGUCCUUUUCUUUUAAUCUUUUCACAAACCAACUACAUUUGAUUGCAUUAACUAUAAAGUCCAUUUGCAUUAUUUUACAUAUCAAUUAAUAUUACUAAACUAAAUUUAUCUAUAAUUACUGAUUUAAAUGUAUACCUAUUUUCUCACCAACAUGGCAUAUAUAUUAGACUCAUUAAAAUUAAACGUUGCUUCAUGUGGUGUGUUCAAUUGGUUAGACUAUCUCGUCAAAUAUAUUGUUCGCAAAUAAACAAUGCUCAAAUGAAUGAUAUUAAUGUUGUUGGUGAAUAUUACAAGCUUCUCGUAACGUUUUGUUAGCUUACGUAUGAAUGUGCAAUAUUAUUUCUACUUAUUUUGUCAAACACUAAAAAAGUAAGUAAAAAACUUGUUUAUGUGAGAUAAUAUUUUUCUUUGUACCUAAAAAGUGCAUUAAUUUAUAUAGCUAAAAUAGUGCAAAGUUGAGGCCUCCACGCAUUAUUUUUGGUGAGAAGAAGAAUGAGAAGACUUUCUAUCUCUUUGAAUUAUUGCAUCACAAACAGUAUAGCUGCCUUAAUAGUUUAUUCAUUUGCUUAGCUUAAUGCCUCUAUCCAUCAAAUUAAAUAUACAACUAACAAGACAAAACCAAAUGAAAAUGCAUAACUCUAGGAUUUUACCUACAUUUGUAUAAAUUUUGGUAAGGGUAUCUGUCUAAAUGAAAACUAUAUAAAGGGGUUUGAGUGAAGCUUAAGAUGACAACAACUUUCUCCUUUGUUUCGAAUAUGGGGAAAAUGGCCUUUCUAGUUGCCACCCUUUUAGUGGUUUUAGUGUCACUUAGCUUAGCAUCUGAAAUUUCAGCUAAUUAUCAAUACUCAUCUCCCCCACCACCAAAGGAGCCAUACCACCCUUCACCAACACCAUAUCAUCCCACACCAGUUUACAAUUCUCCACCACCACCAAAAGAGCCAUACUACCCUCCACACACUCCAGUGUACAAGUCGCCACCACCCUCGACACCUAUUUACAAGUCGCCACCACCACCCAAAGAGCCAUACUACCCUCCACACACCCCUGCCUACAAGUCACCACCUCCACCAACUCCAGUUUACAGGUCGCCACCACCUCCCAAGGAGCCAUACUAUCCUCCACACACACCAACCUACAAGUCGCCACCUCCACCAACUCCCGUUUACAAGUCACCACCACCUCCAAAGGAACCAUACUACCCUCCACAUGCACCAACCUACAAGUCGCCACCACCUCCCAAGGAGCCAUACUACCCUCCCCACACCCCAACCUACAAGUCCUCACCUCCACCAACUCCGUUUUACAAUUCACCACCACCUCCCAAGGAACCAUACUACCCUCCUCACACACCAACCUACAAGUCGCCACCCCCACACAAGGAUCCAUACUACCCUCCACACACACCAACCUAUAAGUCACCACCUCUACCAACUCCUGUUUACAAGUUGCCACAACCACCCAAGGAGCCAUAUUACCCUCCACACACACCAACCUACAAGUCACCACCUCCACCAACUCCCAUUUACAAGUCACCACCACCUCCCAAGGAGCCAUACUACCCUCCACACACACCAACCUACAAGUUACCACCUCCACCAACUCCCGUUUAUAAGUCGUCGCCACCACCAUCCAAAGAGCCAUACUACCCUCCACACACACCAACCUACAAGUCACCACCUCCACCACCUCCCGUUUAUAAGUCUCCACCACCACCCAAGGAGCCAUACUACCCUCCACACACACCGACCUACAAGUCACCACCUCCACCAACUCCCGUUUACAAGUCCCCACCACCUCCUAAGGAGCCAUACUACCCUCCACACACACCGACCUACAAGUCACCACCUCCACCAACUCCCGUUUACAAGUCCCCACCACCUCCUAAGGAGCCAUACUACCCUCCACACACACCAACCUACAAGUCACAACCUCCACUAACUCCCGUUUAUAAGUCGUCGCCACCACCACCCAAGGAGCCAUACUACCCUCCACACACACUAACCUACAAGUCACCACCUCCACCAACUCCUGUUUAUAAGUCGCCACCACCACCCAAGGAUCCAUACUACCCUCCAAACACCCCAACUUACAAGUCGCCACCUCCACCAACUCUCAUUUACAAGGUUCCACCACCAGCCAAGGAGCCAUACUACCCUCCACACACACCGACCUACAAGUCACCACCUCCACCGACUCCCCUUUAUAAGUCCCCACCACCUCCUAAGGAGCCAUACUACCCUCCACACACACCAACCUACAAGUCACCACCUCCACCAACUCCCGUUUAUAAGUCGUCGCCACCACUACCCAAGGAGCCAUACUACCCUUCACACACACCAACCUACAAGUCACCACCUCCACCAACUCCCGUUUAUAAGUCUCCACCACCAACCAAGGAUCCAUACUACCCUCCACACGCCCCAACCUACAAGUCGCCACCUCCACCACCUCCCACUUACAAGUCGCCACCACCACCAAAGGAGCCAUACUACCCUCCACACACACCAACCUACAAGUCAUCACCUCCACCAACUCUCAUUUAUAAGUUGUUGCCACCACCACCCAAAGAGCCGUACUACCCUCCACACACACCAACCUACAAGUCACCACGUCCACCAACUCCCAUUUAUAAGUCGUCGCCGCCGCCACCCAAGGAGCCAUACUACCCUCCACACACACCAACCUACAAGUCACCACCUCCACCAACUCCCGUUUAUAAGUCGCCACCACCACCCAAGGAUCCAUACUACCCUCCACACACCCCAACCUACAAGUCGCCACCUCCACCAACUCCCGUUUACAAGUCGCCACCACCACCCAAGGAGCCAUACUACCCUCCUCACACACCAACCUAUAAGUCACCACCUCCACCAAGUCCCGUUUACAAGUCGCCACCACCACCCAAGGAUCCAUACUAUCCUCCACACACCCCAACCUACAAGUCGCCACCUCCACCAACUCCCGUUUACAAGUCGCCACCACCACCCAAGGAGCCAUACUACCCUCCUCACACACCAACCUAUAAGUCACCACCUCCACCAAGUCCCGUUUACAAGUCGCCACCACCACCCAAGGAGCCAGACUACCCUCCACACACCCCAUCCUACAAGUUACCACCUCCACCAAUUCCCAUUUACAAGUCGCCACCACCACCAACUCCUGCCUACAACUCUCCUCCACCACCUUACUAUCUUUACACCUCUCCCCCUCCUCCCUACCAUUACUAAAAAGCCACUUCAUUAUAUCGAGGUAAUUAAGACAAACUAAAACUAUUACUAAUGAUGUGUCUAAAAUGCAAAGCAAUAAGUUGCUCAAUUUCCUCAUGCAAAUCAUUAAUAUAUAGACCUAUGCAGUCUAUAUUCUUAUUUGGAUAACUUUAAUUACAUGUUCUCAUUCACAAAAUUAUAUUCUUAUGCAGGAAAAGCAAAAUGUUGAGCUUAAAGAAAGGCAUUUUACAUUUUCGAGAGACGAUGAAAAAAGAAGAAAACUAUAGUAAAUAAUAAGCCCCACAUAAGUCGAAGUUCUUUUGUAGCUUCAUGUUAUCUAAGCUAGUGAUACUGUUUGUACUCUAUUAUUUAUAUUUGUAUUUUUACUUUUAUGUCUUUCUGUAUGUUUGCUCAGUUUUAAUAUCCUAGCAAAAUGCAAAGAUUAAUUAUGAGAUGAAUAAAAUAAGUUAUUACUAUUAUACAGUUUUAUGUUUUCCUUCUCUCUGAUCUAUUCGAUCUUAAUUAGUCCUUUUUUUGGUCUUAUUUCUUCAUCUUUAUAUCGAAGGCGAGGCUCAACGAUUACAUUAAAUCAAUCAUCAUACAGAUAAAAUUGAUGACAAAUUUAACGUUAAGAUAUCAUCAAAAUCUCAAUAACAAUUUACAGAUCGAAAUCUUAGUAUCGAUUGAUUAAUAACCUAAACUUUCGCCAUGAAGACUUGAAUCCCUAAUCCCGUCCUUCAUUUCCCAUAUCUCUACCCACACAUUAUCUUUUAAGAAAGAAGAAGUAACAACCAAAAUAAACAUUAUAUCUAAAGUGAUAAUAUGAUAACAAUACAAAUAGGCAACAAUACAAUUAAAGAAAAAAAAAAAAGUUACUCCCACGAUGUCAACACGUAUGCUAGACUGACCAAUAAAGUUAGACAAAUUUCAAAAUUGACAAUAGCAAAGUAUACGUACGUAGCAUAUAGCAACCAAUCAAUGAAUAAAUUAUUCCUAAAGUAGUCAUUAUCAUCUCAUAUACUAUAUUUGGUAAAAUACUAAGAUUAAGUCAACAUAAUUCAGUCUACCGUUUGGUAAUUUAUAACAAAUAGUGACAAUAUUAAUAAAGUGAUUGGUGCUCUCUUUUGGCCCACCCCCAAGAAGAUCGUGAACGCAUAUUUUAAAUUUGAUUUGAUUACCACUUUUUAAUAUCUUUAAAAUAAAACUUGUAUAUUUAAAAAAUUAAAAAUUAUUAUUAUUAUUUAAUUAUAUAAAUAAAAUAUUUUAAAAUACAUUAGUAUCUUAAUAGAGAAAAGAUUAAAAAAUUAAAAAUUAUUAUUAUUAUUUAAUUAUAUAAAUAAAAUAUUUUAAAAUACAUUAGUAUCUUAAUAGAGAAAAGAUUGUUUGUUUGAUUUUCUAAAGUAACAGAGUCGGAUGAGAUAGUUGAUUAAUUUGACGGUUUGAAUAAUAUAAUCUUCUUGAUAAAUAAUCAUCAACCCAUCAUGCAUGUUUUAUAUUUAUUGAUAGAAACUUUGAUGGAUUGAUUUGUUGGUGCCGCCUCAACAUAGAGAAAAGAAAAAGAACAAGUUAUUUCAAUCUAUUACACUUUAGAGAUUAAAAAAAACAUUUUUUAAAGCAGUGAUAAAAUUGAUAAUAAUAAGUUGUUAAUAUGUUUGGCAAAAAGAGUGUCGAUUAACUAUUUUUUGCUAUAGUAUUGAAAUAUCUUUAGAUUUUUUAACCCCCAAAAAAGGUUUAAAACUACCUCUGUAAAGAAAAGGAGUUUAUUUUUAGAAAAUAUAUCUCGAGAAAUAAAGUAAGAUAAAGGAUAAAAUCGUGAAAGAAAAAUGUUGAUAAGCAAACAAAAAAAUCAAAGUUAGGAAUGACCAAUUUAUUGAAUAUAACUAAAUUGUCUUAAAUAAGCAACUUAGCUUAUAAAUAUAUAUAUAAAAUUAUUUUUAUAUCAGUUUGAUCAAUUAAUAAUAAAUUGAUUAUGCAUGAAAUAAUAGGAAGUGUUCUAAUUAAAAAGAAUACAAGGAAAAAGGUGCAGUAUUGUGUACGAUCGACCAAACAUACAUUCGUUAUUAAUUAUUAUUAAGCUAAUUAGACAACGCUAUCUUAUUAAUUUAUUAUAGAGCUGUCGAUAUUAGUUUAGAUAAUUAAAUUAUAUAAAAUUCAUUUAAUUCAAUCAAAGCUUGACUUGUUAAAUGUUAGGUUUAUGAUAUGAUUAAUUAUAUAUAUAAUUCACUAUGAUUUUACGCGACUUGUUAAUCAAGACCUUAUUUAACAUAUUGAUUAAGUUAUUAGUUAUAUAACUAAUAAAAAUAUAUUUUAAAUAAUAAAUGGUUAUUGAGAGAAAACUUCCAUGCAAUUAUCAUAAUAAGAAACUUCUUAAGAAAUUGUCUCUAAUUAGAUAAUUGGAUGGUGACUCUUUUGUUUAAAAAAAAUUGAAUCAAUCAAGAUUUUAUUGCUAUUAAUUGUGAACUACAAUUUGUAGAAGGGGAGCAUAAACCUAGAUAUUAACUAUGCACAACAUGAGUGUGCAAGAUUAUUUUGUUUAUUUAUUUUGAUUCAAUUCAGUAUCCGAUAUUCAUAUUAGAUUCUCAAUCAAAUUUGUAUUUACAUUAAAAAAAUUCAGUGCUCCUUAACAGAGGCAACAACUCUGUACUCAGGAGAACUCGAAUUCGAGACCUCUAAACAAGAAUAAAGAAGUAUUUGUUAUUCCAUAACAAUUUUUAUUGAUAAAAGAAACUCGUAGUAUCAUGAAAAGAUAAUAGAUUAUCUAGGCCUAAUGGAAAAUUCAGUCAAGCUUUAGAGGGAAAAUUAUGGCAUAGCAAAGUUACAAACUUUAUAGUAUGAUUAACUUAAUUACAAGACCGUUAAAUUGAAUGCAACCCCAAUAACUUUUCUUUCAAUAAAUAUUUGGCCUUUGUGAGCUUUAUUUGAACUCUCUCUUCCUUCAUAAACUUGACCAUCAGCAAUAUUUUCCUUUCCUCUUUUAUUUUAUUGCUCACUCGAUAGUCAGCUUUUAAGAUUGACUUGAUGUUUCGAUAAGCGAAAGGUGUAAAUCCAGAUUAUGCUCAAGUAUCUAAGUGAUAUAUGAAUUGCAAACUUUUUGCAUAUGCAUUUGAGAAGAAAAUAAUUAUCACAAGAAAAUAAAUAAUUAGCAUGCGGUAAAUUAUUAACGUAGUUAAAUAAUGUUAUAGUCUUAUAAAUUAAAAUAAAGACAAGGCAACAAUUGUCACUAAUUAUUUGUAUUGUUAGCAACAAAAACUAAGAGAACAUAAAUAAUAUAUACUUAAUGGCUCAAUUUUACACCAUUUCACUAUAAAUAACUUUAUGUCGCUAAUUUGAUUACAUAUUUUUGUGACGAAACUUAUUUUGUAUCCAAACUUAAACGAAUUUAAAGAUAAAUAUGAUUUAUCAUAAAUAUUCAGUAAAAACAGGGAGAAAAUUUAUCAUCAUCAAUAUCCUCAAUUUCGUCGCUAAAAUUACCUUACAAUUUGAUUUAAUUAUAAAUUGAAAAUCAAAUUUAAAAAUGAUUAAAUUUGUGAUGUUGGUGCAAAAUGCACGUAUCAAAUUAAACCCACCUUUAGGUCUAAGAAAAUGGUGAGCACAUCUUAACCAUUAUUCUUCAACUCAUUUCAUCUCUUCCUCAAUUAAUUAUGCAAAUAAUAAAAAUAUUUCUUUUUCCAUUCAAUGUCUGUGUUUUAUAUUGAAGUUCCAAUUAACUCUAGAUUAGAAACCGGAGGCGAGGGCACAUUUAAAGGUGAUGCUUCCUAUACGACUCAUGUAGUAAAAAAAAUUAUAAAAAAAACCACCACAAUAAUUAUAUACGCUUCAAAAAAAAGAAGAGAAUAGAAUAGCAUCCUAUUCAUAGAGAAAACUAUACUUGAUAGUUAACUGGUAGCAAAACUUUUGCACAAGAUUAAUUAUAUUUGUAUAGUUGAUUUAUUCAAGGUUUUAAUUAGAAGAGGUCUAGGAUUCUAUUUAUUUUUAUCCAUAUUUUUUAAACAAUAAAUUUGCUACAAAAGGAUGUCUGUGACAAAUCAUGUCUCCUAAAUAUAAGCACUUGUGUGAAGGUUAGUUGAGUGUAAAGUUGAGGCAUCCACGCAUUUUUUUUUUCAAAGGUUCUGUAAAAAGAAAACAAGAUUUUGUAGCUCUUUGAAUCAUUCUGUCACAAACAGUAUAGUUCCCUUAAUAGUUUAUACAUUUGCUUAGGAUGAUGCCUCUAUAUAUCUAUCAAAUUAAAUAUACAAACUAAAGUCAAAAUUGAGCCAACAACAUGUCAAGACUAAAUAAACAUAUGCAUAACUCUACCAUAUUACCUACAUUUGUAUAAAUUUUGGUAAGGGUAAUUUCUAAAUGAAGUCUAUAUAAAGGGGUUUGGGUGAAGCUUAAGAGGACAAAAACUUCUCUCCUUUGUUUCAAAUAUAGGGAAAAUGGCCUCUCUAGUUGCAACUCUUUUAGUGGUUUUAGUGUCACUUAGCUUACCAUCCGAAAGUUCAGCUAAUUAUCAAUACACAUCUCCCCCACCACCAAAGGAGUCAUACCACCCUUCACCAACACCUUAUCAUCCCGUACCACUUUACAAGUCUCCACCACUGCCAACUCCAGUUUACAAUUUUCCACCACCACCCAGAGAGACGUACUACCCUCCACACACUCCAGUGUACAUGCCGUCACCACCCUCGACACAAAUUUACAAGUCGCCACCACCACCCAAGGAGCCAUAUUACCCUCCACACACCCCAACCUACAAGUCGCCACCUCCACCAACUCCUAUUUACAAGUCUCCACCGCCGCCAACUCCCUUUUACAAUUCUCCACCACCACCCAAGGAGCCAUACUACACUUCGCCACCUCCACCAACUCCUACUUACAAGUACCCACCGCCACCAACUCCGGUUUACAAUUCUCCACCACCACCUAAGGAGCCAUACUACCCUCCACACACCCCAACCUACAAGUCGCCACCUCCACCAACUCCUGCUUACAAGUCUCUACCGCCGCCAAUUCCAGUUCACAAUUCUCCACCAUCACCCAAGGAGCCAUACUACCCUCCACACACCCCAACCUACAAGUCGCCACCUCCACCAACUCCUGCUUACAAGUCUCUACCGCUGCCAAUUCCAGUUCACAAUUCUCCACCAUCACCCAAGGAGCCAUACAACCCUCCACACACCCCAACCUACAAGUCGCCACCUCCACCAACUCUUGCUUACAAGUCUCCACCGCCACCAACUCCGAUUUACAAUUCUCCACCACCACCCAAGGAGCCAUACUACCCUCCACAUACCCCAACCUACAAGUCGCCACCUCCACCAACUCCCAUUUACAAGUCGCCACCGUCACCAACUCCGGUUUACGAUUCUCCACCACCACCCAAGGAGCUAUACUACCCUCCACACACCUCAACCUACAAGUCGCCACCACCACCGAAUGAGCCAUACUACCCUCCACACACACCAACAUACAAGUCGCCACCUCCACCAAUUCCAAUCUACAAGUCACCACCUCUUCCAACUCCUAUUUACAAGUCGCCACCACCACCCAAGGAGCCAUACUACCCUCCACAUACUCCACUUUCACCGUCUUCAGUUUAUAAGUCUCCACCUCCACCAACUCAUGUUUACAAGUCGCCGCCACCACCUAUAGAGCCAUACUACCCUCCACACACCCCAAUCUAUAAGUCGCCACCUCCACCGAUUCCUGUUUACAAUUCACCACCUCCACUAACUCCAGUUUAUAAGUCACCACCACCACCCAAAGAGCCUCACUACCCUCCACACACCCCAGUGUAUAAGUCACCACCACCACCCAAGGAGCCAUACUAUUCUCCACAAAAUCCAGUCUACAAGUCGCCACCUCCACCAACUCCCAGUUACAAGUCGCCAACACCACCCAAGGAGCCAUAUUAUCCUCCACAUACCCCAACUUACAAGUCACCACCUCCACCAACUCCAGUAUACAAGUCGCCGCCACCACCCAAGGAGCCAUACUACCCUCCACACACCCCGACCUACAAGUCGCCACCACCACCGAAGGAGUCAUACUAUCCUCCACACACCCCAACCUACAAGUCACCACCUCCACCAACUCCUGUUUCCAGCUCUCCACCACCACCAACUCCAGUCUACAAGUUUCCACCACCAACAGAUUAUGUUUACACCUCUCCCCCUCCUCCCUACUAUUACUAAGAAGAGAUUUCAUUAUAUCUAAGGUAAUUAAACCAAACUAAAACUUUUAAUUAUGAUAUGUCUAUAGAAGUUGCACAAUUUCUUCGUUCGAAUAAUUAAUAUAGACCUGUAUACUGUCUACAUCUUAUUUGGUUUAGGUUCUAUUAUAUGUUCUCAUUCACAAUACUAAUUAUAUUCUUAUGCAGGAAAGAUGCAGAAUGUUGAGCUAAAAGAAAAUAAGCCCACACAGGAGGCAAAGUUUUUUUGUAGCUUCAUUUUGUAUAAGUUAUUGUUUGUACCCUAUAUUAUAUUUAUAUUUUACUUCUAUUUAUUUGUGUAAUAUGUUUGUUCGAUCUCCUUGCAACAUGCAGCCAUUAUGAGAUGUAUAAAAUAUGUUAUUACUAUAUAUACUGUCUUUUUUCUUAUUUUUGUCAUCCCUUAUAUUGAGUUAUAUUUAUAAGUUGAGCCUCUUAUCAAUUACAUUAAAUCAGUUGCUAUAAAAAAUGUGGUUUUUCACCACCAAUAAGUUCAACGAUAAGCUACAAUCAACUGGGAAUAUUAGUAGCUUCAAUAGAAAAUGUUAAUAGCUCCGUUGAUUAGUUAUUUGAACUUUUUAUCUUUAUUACACGUCGCAAUAACAAUCAAUGUAAAUAUUAUAUCUAACCUCUGGACUUAUGCCCACAUAAUUCCUCAAUGCACCCACACAAAAUAUUGAAAUUAAAUAUUAUUACUUGCCUAUUUCUCUUAUCUUGAUUAUUAGUUUUCAGGGAUGAAAGUUUAAUUGUUACACCUUUCACUUUUUUAAAAAAAAAAAAAAGGAAUGGACAACCAACUGAUUUCGUAUCUGAUUGUAGUUGUUGAAGGCAUAUUGUAAUAAUUAAAUUUUCGUUUUUGAAAAAUAAUAAUCAAAAAAUAGAAAAUAUCAAUAAAUAAUAAUAUUUAAUUUUAUUUAUUUGUGCACGAUUUAACAAUCAUUAGAGAUUUCACACUAAAAUGUUUAAUUUUUUUGUUUUUUCUUUUUUUCUCUUCAUGACUAUCAACUCAAAAGUUUUGCUUUUUACCUGAAUUGAUGGAAUACUUGUUGAAAGUUUACCACGAAUGCAUAAUCAAUUUUUAAUCACAUUCGAGGAGGCAUAAAACGACUCACAACUUGAAGGCAAAAAAGAGUUGUAUGCAGAAGACUGCAAAUCAUUAUUGAAUAUUUUUUUAUAUAGGCAUCAGCUAGGGUUUGAAAUAUUUGAUCUAAUCGACUUUAGGUUUGAGAAUAUGAGUUGUGUUGGAUUAGACUUGUAAAUUUAAUAAUGGACUAACCUAAAUUUAAUCGAAAAAUUACCUAACUACAUAUAUAUUUUUUUAUCCUAUUUUCUAUUAUUUCAUAUAAUUUAUAAAAAUUACAAAAAUCUUUUUUUUCUCUCAAAUUCGCUCCUUUCAAGAUUCAUAACUUUAAAUCUUCCAACUCACAAUUUCUCCUUUUUCUCAGGCCUAUAAUCGCUCUACUAUAUUACUAGUUACCUUCAUCUCCUAUAUUUUGAAUUUUAGAUAUUUUUCUCUCUCCCGUUUAUAAUUUAAUUGAGUAUGUAUCAUAUGUUUGUUAUGUAUGUGAAGUACUAUUUUAUAACUAAAUCAUUGUUUAUCAUAUUCAUAAGUUUUUUUUAUAUGAUACAUAGCUAUGUCAAAUUAUACCGGCAUGAUACAUAAAUACUAAUUUAUGCUACAUGUAACGAUCUCAAAUCAAACAACUUAUGAGCAACAAUUACAUGUUAAAUGUAUCCCGUAACAAUACGAUACUUAUUAAUUUAAACGAGAUAAAUAAAUAGUAAUGUAUCAUGUAUUAGUUUUUAGAUGUGAUACAUAAAUUCGAAUUUGGACUACAUGUAUUAAUUACAUAGAAACUACCACGCGGUGAUGUAUCCAUCACAAAUGUAACAUCUUAUGGGCAACAAUUACUUAUUUAAUGUAUCUACUAUAAAUACAAUACUAAUCAAUUGAGACGAGAUACACAAAUAGUAAUGUAUCAUGCAAAAAAAUUUUUUACUUGAUAUGUGAAUUCGAAUUUAUACUAAAUGUAUCAAUUACAUAGCAACUACCACAUUGUAAUGUAUCGAUCUCGAAUUCAACAUCUUAUGGACUAUAAUUAUUUAUUUAGUGUAUUUAGUAUAAAUACAAUACUUAUCAAUUUAAACAAGAUACAUAAAAGUAAAAUGCUAAGUAGACAAGAUAUUCAUGAUAAUAUUCUCAAUUUUUUUGAGAUUCUUCAAUAAACUAGGAGAAGAAUUCUGAAUCUCAAAAUUUACAACAAUUUUGAAUCAAAAUUAAAAAGAUCUUUGAUGAACUGGAGAACAAAGAAUCUUAAUCUCAAAAUUUUUAACAAUCUUGAAUCAAAACUGAAAGGAAUAUCUUUGAUGAUCUUGAAGAUUCAAAAGAAAAUUGUUUAUCCAACAACAAUUUUGUCACUUUUGUAUCAUUCAUAAUUCACUUCGCUUACCCAAAAUUUCGACAAAAGUUUUUGGAUCAAAUGUGAAAGGUUUCUUUGUUGAACGGGGGGAUCAACUAGAAAUUUUAAAUUUCUUCGUUCUGUAUGGAUUUGAUUCUGUAUGAUUGAGAGUAAAAAGAAAUAUAAGCGUAAUUUAUGGAAUUUAAUUAGUUUUCAGAUUUUAUUUUCUUUUUAGCGCAACAGAAAGAUUCUUUUUGUAUUAAAAUUAGUGUAUCUAGAUGGUGGUGACUUAUGUAUUUGUUGAAGGAAGCUGAUGGAACAGGUUUGGUAGUAUAUGACUUUUUUCCUAUAUAAGGAUGAUGUAACUCAAUCAUUCAUUCAUCAAUAUAAUCCUUGAUUCUUCACAUACAUAUCUGUGAGAAUUCUACAUCCGAAAGGUACAAAUUUUAACGGAUCAUUUUAUUAGAAAAAAAUAGAGAUAAAAUAUAAUGUAUUCUUUACAUUACGAAGUUUACGUAAGUUAAUCAAAUUUGAUUAAACUUCCCUUAAAUCAUAAAAGUUUAACUUAAUAUUAUUCCAACUUUAUUAUAGAUAUAUAUAAUUGGAAAAAAAAACAAACAAAAUAGAACAUAAGAUCUCGAUCGCUGGACAAAUGUUUGUCUAUAAUAAAUAAAUAUGUCGGUAAUAAUUAUUGACUAGGUCAAUGUAGCUAAGGUUUGUACUUGUUUAUACUUACAUCCUAUCUCUUGGGACGAUUAAAAAAAUAUUAGUUUAGCUUAUUUAAUAAUGGAAUCUUAUAUGGAGUUUACUAAUUUUAUCUUUGUCGGUGAUUAAGUUAUACAAAUGAUUAAUUAUUUUUCUAAUUAAAAAGUCAAAAGUCAUUAUUGGAUGAACCAAGAAUCUUCCAUGUAUUUGAAUACUUUUUCUGUCUCCCUUAAAUCGUGAUGGCUUUUUUGUAAGUUAAAUAAUAAAAAAUUUUAUUAAUGUUUUGUUGAUAUAAGAAAUUAUAAAAUAAGUAUUUUUGUAUAAUAUAUUUAAAUUUUUAAUUUAAAUUUAAAUUUUAAAAAUUAGUUAUAUUAACUGUUAAAAAACCGUACAACGACUAAAACGGGACGGCUUGUUCUCUUCUUUCUUUUAUUAUAAAUAAAAAUAAAAAUUUAACUAAUGUGCAAUCAAUAAUGUUAAUUAUUUAUUCAAAGUUUAAAUUAAACACAUAAAAGUGAAAAGUAUAAAGCCUUCAACCGAUUCGAUUCAUUUAAUUAUGUUUCUUAAGAUAUUCCAUAUUUUCAAAUUUUAAAGAGAACUAUAAAUUCCUACAUUUAAAACUACAUACAUUAUUAAAAUGUGCCUAUAUAACACGCAUUUAAAUUAGUUGUGCUCAAAUAUAGAUAUCAAACAAGGAAUAAAACAUAAAGUGAAUUACUUAAACUAUAAUUAUAUAUUAAGUAAUUAAAUCAAAUCGUGUAAUUUAAUUAAUUAUACUACCAAAAUAUUAACUUCAACGAUAUGAAGUAACGCAAUGUACCUUUAAAGUUUCACAAAAUUUAAUUAGGUUGUAAGGUUUGAUUCUUGAAAUUUAGAAAUUAUUUUCAAGUGAUUUGAGUACAUUGAAAGUACCUAAGUCAAUAAAGUCAAAAAUAAAUUAAUUUUUACUUUGUAUCGUGACCUGUAUUCUACAUCUUGUGUGUUCCCACGAUAAUAAACUAAGAUACCAAAAAUUUCAUAGAUAUUAUAUUUAAUCAUAUAAAUUUUUUCAAUAUUGAGCUACAUAAUCCGUUGAAUUUUUUGCCCUCUAUUCCCACCUAAAACUAAAAAGAAAGAACAACAUUAAUUGCUUUAUUUAGUAAUGAAAGUGGGUCAUUAUAUAUAUAUAUAUAUAUAUAUAUAUAUAUAUAUAUAUAUAUAUAUAUAUAUAUAUAUAUAUAUUAUUUUAUUUUAUUUUAUUUUAUUUUUUUGACAACUAGGGAAACCUGAGCCGCUAUCCUAUAAAAUAGCUCGCAAAUCACAUAGGAGAGGUAACCUGCACUAGGCAAGCCUGGUGCAACGAGCUUGACCCAGAAGGCAAAUCUCUUGCUUUCGCUGGCAAGGGGUUUCAAACUUGAGACCUCCAAUAUGGAAGUUUCAAGCUCAAACCAUUGGGCCACCCCGAAGGGUUAUAUAUAUAUAACUUUUAGUAAUAUUAGAUAUUGACAUUAAUAAAGAGUGUUAAAGUCUUUAUCGGUAUCAGUUAAGUGUCAUUAGAACCAAUGUUGCUAAAGGCUUUAGGGACACAUACAAAGAAAGUUAUUGCCGCUAAAAACACUUAUUUGGCGACGUUUGAAAAUUAAUUGCCAAUAAUGAUUAUUUUUAAUAUAGUGUAUAUAUGUAUUAUUGUUUUAAAUCUCUAUACUAUUUAAGCACUAAAGGUAAUUAAAGGUUAGUUUAUCAAUCAAAAUCAAAAAAAAAUAAAUUGUUACUCCCUUAGUUCGUUUCAUAGUAGUUGAUCAUCUUACUAAAAAUAAUUGUUACACAUUAAUUGUCCAUCUUAUUAAAUCAAGAAAUCAAUAAUUAAUUUUUUCCUAUAUUAUCUAUUCAGAUAAUUCUUUUGAAAGUAUUAACAUUUGUUUGUAAAAUGUAAAAGAAGUUUUCAAGGGGUGAAUUAAUAAAAUUAUCUAGCUAGUUAAUAAAAAUGAUGGGUGAAAUAAUAUUAUCUAGCUACUUAAUAAAAAUAAUCAACUAAUAUGAGACACAUAAAAAUAGAAUUCUUCAAAUAUUUUGUAACAAAAAAAAAAAGAAAAAAGGCAGUGUACACUGAUUUUUGUAACUAAAAAUCGUGCGAAGUUGAGGGAUGCACGCAUUUUUUUCAAAGAUUUUGUAUGUAUGUAAUGUAAAAGCUUGGAAGAAAAAGAAGACUUUGUAGCUCUUUGAAUUAUUGCAUCACAAGAUGUAAAGAAAAUUGUAUGGUUGUCUUAAUAGUUUAUACAUUUUUGCUUAGCUUGCACCCUCUAUCCAAUAAAUAAAGUCAAAUUGAGCCAACAACAUGACAAAACCAAUUAUAAAAAUGAAUAAAAACUUUACCUACAUUUAUGUAAAUCUUGGUAAGGGUAAUUGUCGAAAUGAAAGCUAUAUAAAGGGGUUUGAGUGAAACUUAAAGAGGACACCAACUUCUCUUCUUUGGUUUCAAAUAUGGGGAAAAUGGCCUCUCUAGUUGCUACUCUUUUAGUGGUUUUAGUGUCACUUAGCUUUGCUUCCGAAAGCUCAGCAAACUAUCAAUACUCAUCUCCUCCACCACCAAAGAAGCCAUACCACCCUUCACCAACACCUUAUCAUCUCGCACCAGUUUACAGAUCACCACCACCACCAACUCCACUUUACAAGUCACCACCACCACCUAAGGAGCCACACUAUCCUCCACACACCCCGGUUUACAAGUCGCCACCUCCUCCAGCUCCAAUUUACAAGUCACCACCACCACCGGUGAAGCCAUACCAUCCAGCACCAGUUUAUAAGUCACCACCACCCCCUACGCCUGUUUACAAGUCACCACCACCACCAGUGAAGCCACACCAUCCUGCACCAGUAUACAAGUCUCCACCACCACCAACUCCAGUUUAUAAGUCACCACCUCCUCCAACACCCGUUUACAAGUCACCACCACCACCAGUGAAGCCAUACCAUCCUGCACCAGUAUACAAGUCACCACCACCUCCAACACCCAUUUACAAGUCACCACCACCACCAGUGAAGCCAUACCAUCCUGCACCAGUAUACAAGUCACCACCACCUCCAACACCCGUUUACAUGUCACCACCACCACCAGUGAAGCCAUACCAUCCUGCACCAGUAUACAAGUCACCACCACCUCUAACACCCGUUUACAAGUCACCACCACCACCAGUGAAGCCAUACCAUCCUGCACCAGUAUACAAAUCUCCACCACCACCAACUCCAAUUUACAAGUCACCUCCACCACCAGUGAAGCCAUACCAUCCUGCACCAGUAUACAAGUCUCCACCACCACCAACUCCAGUUUAUAAGUCACCACCACCACCGGUGAAGCCAUACCAUCCUACACCUGUGUACAAGUCUCCACCACCACCAACUCCUGUUUACAUGUCCCCACCACCACCAGUGAAGCCAUACCAUCCUACACCUGUGUACAAUUCUCCACCACCACCAACUCCCGUUUACAUGUCCCCACCACCACCAGUGAAGCCAUAUCAUCCUACACC
rnacentral:lncRNA from 1 species